rnacentral:lncRNA from 1 species
UUUCUGGUACCUGUACGACAGAAACCCCUAUAAGGUGAGCCUUACUUUUGUACCUGUUCCAGACCAUAUGAGUAUUUGGACCGUACGUGUACGGUCCAGACUGUAUACGUAUACUCGUACGGUCAGACUGUAUGAGUAUACCCAUAUGGUCCAGUAAGAGCUGACCAUACAUGUUAUUGGAUCAUAUGGGUUAAAUUUAAACAAACAUUUAUCACAAUCUUUAUUUUUAGUUUUAUAAAUUGUUAUCAUUGCAAUUAGAUGGAUGAAAUGAACAAAUGAACAAUUGAAAUUAAAUAUUUGUUUAAUUGUAUAUCUGAAUCCUAUUUUGGUAUUCUUGCCCAAGGUGACACUUGCUACCACAAGUAAUGUAAUAUAUUUUACAUUUACAUGUUUGCAGUUCAUUUAUGUUCCUUUGCAUUUGCAUUUUUAUUCCCCACCUACGAUAGUAGAGGGGCAUUAUGUUUUCUGGUCUUGGCGUCCGUCUGUCCGUCUGUUCGUUCGUCUGUUCGUUCGUCCGUCUGUCCCGCUUCAGAUUAAAGUUUUUGGUCAAGGUAGUUUUUGAUGAAGUCCAAUCGACUUCAAACUUAUUAUACAUGUUCCCUAUGAUAUGAUCUUUUUAAUUUUAAUGCCAAAUUAGUGGUUUUACCCCAAUUUCACGGUCCACUGAACAUAGAAAAAGAUAGUGCGAGUGGGGCAUUCGUGUACUGGGGACACAUUCUUGUUUUGUAAAGUUUCUAAUAUUCUACAACAAUUGUCCUCCCACAUUAUGUUUACUUCCGAUAUCGUCAAUUUAAUGAUUCAAUUAAUGUAUUACUGAUCGAUAUGCUAAAAACAAGAUAGUAACAGAUUUAAUUAGCGUGAAUUUUUUAAAUAGUUAAAAAAUAAGGUUUUUUAUUUCAAUUAGAAAUUUUAAUUCAAAAAGUAUUAAUAACAGGCUAUUAUUUGAACUUGGAAUUAUUUUUAAUUAUGGAAUUUGCAUAAUUUCUUGUGUUUAAAGGGAAACUUCGCAAAAAAAUCAAAAAUUGAUAUUAUGUUCAUUCUGUAUAAAAAUGCUCAAAUUCAUGAAUAUUAAAGUUUUAUUCUGCUUGAUAAGAGAUCACCAUCGAUUUUAAAUUUAGAGUAUCAAUUCUCUCCGGUCGGCCAUUUUGUUACCUUCUCCGAAUUGCUCCCAAGAUAUGUCUAAGGACCAAAACUACAGUAACCCGAUGUAGUCGUAAUUGCGUGUUGAUAUCUUGUCAAUCGUACGGUUGUUUUAUCCGACUAGUUAACUAUAACUAAGUUGAUACAGAAAAUUUUCUUAUCUUUUUUUUUUUUAAUAACCAUGAUCUGUUAUUUUUAACAAUAAUGAUAAUAUUGGAAUUAGUUAAAAAGUAAAAGUUUCAAAUCAUAAAUAAGUGUUCCGUGAAACUUGAAUUGUUUUCGGAAAUCUAAUUAGUUCAUAAUUCUUUUAUGUAAUAAACUUUAUUCAAAUAAAUUAGGAUCUUCGCUCCACUGAUCACCUGCAUGGCUAAAGGUAUUACUCCCAAAGGUAUUGCAGGGGGUGUGACACGUCCAGGUAUUCAAGCGAUUUCCUGUCGAGCUUGCAAAUUCAUGCAUCGUUUCACUUCUUAGGGUAUUGGUCAGUGUACACGGCCGAUAACUUAUAACUUUCCAUUUUGAACUAUUAGGUGUAUAAUAUGCAUCUCUAUCUUGCGUGUCCGAAAGUGAUAUUAUAUACUAGUCAUUACUAAACUCAUACCAAGGAUUUGUAUAGUUAGUCUAACUAUACAAAUCCUUGCUCAUACGCUUGUUUAUGAAUAAAAUUUCUGAUGUAAAGAAAAUUAUUUAUAAAAAUAUAGAUAAUACCUAAAAAUAAACAACAGAUUUGAUGAAAUAAAAAUCUAUAUACAUACAUAAUUUUUUGUCAAUGGUGAAGGACAGAUCGGACCAUACCAGAAAUUUUGAUUUAAAAAAAUGUACGCACUUGUCGACCAUCGUAUAUACGCCAGGAUAAAAAGUUACGGAACUAUAGCGCAAAUUCAAAUAUAUACAUGUAUACAUUGUACAUAAGAAAGAAACAUACAUUUUGUGUAAAUUGUGGUAAAAGUUUUGUUAGUGGACUAGUCCACGUAUGCCAACAGUAUGUAAUCAUCAAAUGUCGAAAGACUAUUGUAUACCAAAAAGAAGAAGAAAGAAGAGAUUUAAAUACAGGUCGAUAUAUAACUUUCUUUGGCUCAUCGAAGUUAUGGACAUUUAUAUAUCAAUUAGAUUGUUCUCGAAUAAAAGAAGAAAUUCGUCAUCAUCACAAUUGUUCCGACAUGCAUGUUAUAUAUGUACGCAACUGGACGUACACUAAUAAUCCCUAAGGGAUGUGAAUAUUUUCCAGGAAAACUAUAGAGUAUCAAAGUUUCAAAUCAAUUUCGGGAUUUAUUUUCUUUCUUGAUAUUCAAUGACAGCAAUUUAAAGAACAAACUGCUUGUCCGCUUUAUAGGUAUUCUUGCCAGUUGAAACAGACUUAUAAUAACAUUAAACAAUAGGGAAAGAUGACAUUAAAUUCGUUCUGUUUUUUUUUUUUUUUUUUAUACAUUGUUGGUCAAAUAGCUAAAGUAUUAUAUAUAAUUGGGCCCGAUAUAGUUACGGUGUGAGACGAAGACUAUUUUGUUAAGGACAUUCCCGAUUAUGUAAAACAAAAUGUUGUUGUUUUUCACACUUGAAAAGCAUAUAUGUUCGUAAAUUUCGAUUCCAUUCCAAAAAGAUUCUUAAAUUUUCUGUCAAUUUUUUUAAAAAAAAUUAUCAAAUAUCUGAAGUAUUCGUGCUUUGUGAGAUUUGAAAAUAUUUUGAUGAAAAACAUUAAUUCCUAAAUAGGUAAUUAAAGAUAACUUUGGAUGGACUAAAUUAUAUAAUUGCAAUUGUUAAUGAUCUGUUUGAAAUAUUUAAGGCUGCCGAUCCUAAUCUAAAAUAGUACAAUUUUUGGUUCAUACACUCGUAAUUAGAAGGCCAUUUUUAUUAUGAAUUUAUACUUCAAUUAAAAUAAUAAAGUAUUUUAUCGUUACUGAAUUAAUCAAAAGUCAUAAUUCAUUUAAAAGUGAUCUUAUCAUGCUUAUGCAAAAUAUAAAAAUAUACAACAGCUAUCCAGUUAUUGUGCGACCUUAUUAUUCCCGUUAAUUAAUUAACUUUUUUUUACAUUUCUGCAGGGACGUCUAUAUAAGUCCUUGAUUUCUGUGUCUAAAACUUUUACUGACUCCCGUUUUCAAUUCAUACGAAAUGUUGUUCACACCUUCAAGCCAGUAAACCGUGACGCCUAGAUUUCACUGAAUGAGGAUCAAAGGAUUAGAAUUACAUAAUGCUAAUCCUUUAAUUACCUUGAGUUAACCGACGCACUCAACAUUCUUUAGGUGUCACAAAACAAUACACAUUUUAUUUCCACCGUACAAGCAAGUGAAAAUGUGAGAAUGAAGCAAAAAGGUCAAAAUACAAACGUGUAUUUUUAUUACACUAUUGAUCAUGUCAAUUUCAUAUGUUUGUUUAAAGUAUUUGUAGAAAAAUCAUAAAAAAUGUUCUCUUUUGUAUGAUUAAAUUAAUUUUAUUAAAAAUUAAUUCGAUUUAAAAUAUCCACACGAUCUAAUUUUAAAAGUUGCAUGGCUAUCACUUAUUUUUCGUUGGUUAAUAGCUACACCAAAAGUCGUCGAUGCGCUUUAAAUGGCGUUAUUAAAUGGUUAACGAACAAGACUUAAAUGAGAUAUUUUCACUCCCGGCAUGCAUCAAAGACUUAAACUACGUCACAUAAGUCAGGAAGUUUCAAGAAAUAAAAUUAAUAAUUCCCAAUUUUCUCCUUUAUUAGAUUUCAUAUCAAAAUAAAACUUGGUGAAUAUGUUUUUUAUGGUAUUAUGAACAAAAUAAGAUGAAAAGUGAAAAUUCGCGAAUUAUCCCUUUAAAAUUUUUGAUAAAUUCCAUUUAAUAUUUGGUAUUAUGAUCUUUUGAGCGGUUAAUAACACUUCCUUACAAUGUAUUUUGGUGAGAUAGUGUUGUGCGCGGCACAGUACAUUCUAUUGAAAAAUACUAUUUUCUUUGUAAUAGAAAGUGUUGUGCGCAGCACAGAACAUUUCAUUACAGAAUAAACGUGGAAUUUAUUGAAAAUUUCAAUAACAAGAAAUCAAGCAAAUUCCAUAAUUAAAAAUAAUUCCAAGUUCAAAUAAUAGCCUGUUUAAUGCUAAUUAGAAAUAAGGUUGGGUUUAAGUACCUAAACUACAGAAACUUUCAUAGUUACAAUUGAACUUUUCCAUAUUAAUUUGAGAGUUAAGUUAUGUUGAUCUGUUACAUGCAUUUGUAACUUAUAAACUUAAGCAACUUCAUAAUCAUAUUAAUCAGACUGUACAUGUACUGUCCGACCGUAGGAGUAUUUUGAAAAAGUACGCAUACAGUCCAGACCGUACGCGUACGGUCCAAACACUCAUACGGUCUGGAAUAUACCCAAUUGUCCUAAAUAUGCAUGAAAUAUUUCCUACUAAAUGUUAGGCUCAAAAAAUCAAUUCUUCUAGGAUGUGUCUGAUUGUUAUAGAGACCUGAAUGGGUAAUCAUUAUGUUGUAUAACACCCAGGUUGGGUUUAAGUACCUAAACUACAGAAACUUUCAUAGUUUCUCAAUACAUUUGUACAUCCAAAUUAUUUGAACUUUGGUGGAUCAUUGGCAAUCAUACCACAUUACCUUAUUUUAAUAUAAGGUAGGAAUUUAAGCUAUACACAAGGUCAGCAUAUAAUAUAUUUCUUUGGAUAACAGUAUCAUACAAACAAGAAAUAAUUGCUGUGAAAAUUGUUAAAAGAUUUGAAUAACAUGGAUACUAUACAUGUACUAUACUUUAAGUAAUGCCAAGGUCUGUUUGAAAUGUAAUUCUGUUCUUUUAUUAUUGUUGUUUGAAGUUCUUCAGUAAUUCAAUGCUCUUUUUUUAUCUGUAAAUUGUUAUGUAGGGAUUUCCAGACACAAAGGUUCUUGGACAGCACAUGCAAAAAAUAGCAGCAUUUAUCCUUUCACCAGAGUUCCCCAGGGGCAGACAACUUGAAGUGUCGACUGAUUAUGUGGAAUAUAUGGCUCAAAUAGAGUAAGAUAAUAACGUAAUUAUCAGUAUUUCGGUUUAUGGAGUUGGUUUAGUUGAACAACCAAGAUUUUUCUCAAAAACAAAAAAAGUCUUAGUAAUAAUGCUACACCAAUUUAAUAACCCUUAGUAUUUUUUAUGCCCCACCUACGAUAGUAGAGGGGCAUUAUGUUUUCUGGUCUGUGCGUCCGUUCGUCCGUUCGUUCGUCCGUUCGUUCGUCCGUUCGUUCGUCCGUCUGUCCCGCUUCAGGUUAAAGUUUUUGGUCGAGGUAGUUUUUGAUGAAGUUGAAGUCCAAUCAACUUGAAACUUAGUAUACAUGUGCCCUAUGAUAUGAUCUUUCUAAUUUAAAUGCCAAAUUAGAGUUUUGACCCCAAUUUUACGGUUCACUGAACAUAGAAAAUGAUAGUGCAAAUUUCAGGUUAAAGUUUUUGGCUUCAGGUUAAAGUUUUUGGUCAAGGUAGUUUUUGAUGAAGUUGAAGUCCAAUCAACUUGAAACUUAGUAUACAUGUGCCCUAUGAUAUGAUCUUUCUAAUUUAAAUGCAAAUUAGAGUUUUGACCCCAAUUUUACGGUUCACUGAACAUAGAAAAUGAUAGUGCAAAUUUCAGGUUAAAGUUUUUGGCUUCAGGUUAAAGUUUUUGGUCAAGGUAGUUUUUGAUGAAGUUUAAGUCCAAUCAACUUGAACUUAGUAUACAUGUGCCCUAUGAUAUGAUCUUUCUAAUUUAAAUGCCAAAUUAGAGUUUUGACCCCAAUUUUACGGUUCACUGAACAUAGAAAAUGAUAGUGCAAAUUUCAGGUUAAAGUUUUUGGUCAAGGUAGUUUUUGAUAAAGUAGAAGUCCAAUCAACUUGAAACUUAGUAUACAUGUUCCCUUUGAUAAGAUCAUUCUAAUUUUAAUGCCAAAUUAGAGAAUUUAUUCCAAUUUCACAGUCCUUUAAACAUAGAAAAUGAUAGUGUGAGUGGGGCAUCCGUGUACUGUGGACACAUUCUUGUUUAUACUUGAUUUAUUGAGCCUGGUUCAUUCUCUGAAAUAAAAUAAAAGAUAUGUGAAAACAAUAUUAAUAAUCACAAGUUUUAAUCCUUAUGUAAACACUUACAGAAAAUGAGAAUUCACAAAAAACUUCAUGAAACAGUAUAAUGUGAUUGUAGAAUGCAGAUUUCCAAGGCUUAUUAUUGCAGGAACAAUUUGACAGAACUAAUAAGCUUCACCAGAUACAUUGCUGAAAUUGUGUUUUUUGCUAAUGAAUGAUUUAUAUCAACACUUUUGUGCUAUUUUUUGGCAGUCAGUUUUAAUAGGUGUAGGAAGUUGGUGUGCAGGGAGAGAACCACAUACCUUUGGAAGGAAAACUAACAAUACUUGUCAAUUAAUAUAAGAUUGGAGUUGAACGCAUCACAUACCAGAUUCGAACUCACUCACUACCACAGUGAAACUGUACCUGAGUGCAGGGGUCAAAAUAAGUGCUGGUCCGGUGGUCAGGGACCAGUAGAAUGUGCGUCAGACCAGUAGAUUUUGUCAGCUGGUAGUCUGGCCAGUAGAAAUUUGUAGAUAAAAAUCACUGAUUGCAUCGCAAUCUCCGUUUGUUUACAAAACAAUUUACCUGUGAAAUCAAUUACACGGUACUGGGGGUAUUACAUUUGAUCAAGUUGAUUAAUAUCUCAGGUGAGCGUCCUUCACAACAAUAUAAAAUGUGGAAAUUUUUGGAAGGAGUUUAACCGCCGAAAACAAAAAAAAAUCAAAAAUGUGAAAAUCAAAAGGAAGAUCGAAAUAAAGUAUAUGAAAUUGACAAAAGGAAAUGCAAAUACCAAAAAUCGCGAAUGGUUGAAUUAUAAAGUAGGACCAGUAGAUUUGGAGCCGGACCAGUAGAGUUUUCAGUCUACUGGUCCGGCUGGACAGUACACAAAAAAGCUUAAAUUCAACCCCUGUCUGAGUGUUUCUUCUAUUGUUUUAUUCAUGUAUUAGUAUAGAUAUGGUUAGUGCAGUGUAACCAUGUCUUCUCUUUCUAUAUUUCUGCUCAUGUAUCUGCAUAAAUAUGAUGAGCAUGGAAAGCAAACCAUCUCUUUAAAAUCUAUCUAUUCCAUGUACAUGUAUCAGUAUGGAUAUUGGGUGCAUGUGAAUGUAGGAAAUAUAUCAUCUCUUUCUUUAAUUCUGCUCAUUUAUGAGCAUCGUACAUGGUGAAUGUGAGUUUGUCUAUAAGGAACUCAGAAAUUAUCAUGAAUUGUAUUUUAUUGUAUAUGUUUCAGAGGGGACAUAUUAAUAGAAGUGUGGCCAGACAUGAUGGCUUUAUUCAAAGCUCUCAGCUUGUGUAAAAAGGCCAAUGAAAUGUCCAAGAUGAUAAGAGGAUUCAGACACCUGUUUGAUAGGUUGGAUGACAAAGCUAUGGGGGUAACUAAUAUUCAUCAUUGCCUUCAUUUUCUAGUUAUAUCUUAAUGCAAAGUAAUUUAUAUAUCUGUGUAUGGAGGACUAAACUUGGGUCAUGUAUUAUUGUUGAAAUAAAUUUUGAUUUGAAUUGAAUUUUCCAAGGAAUAAAAGAUAAAUUUGUAUGAAAAGCUAAUGUUCAUAAAACAUGUUCAUUUAUCAAAAUAAAUCAAAAAAAUGUUCAAGCACAGAAGUAUGUCAGAUGUAACGUAAUUAACUGAACAAGUAGGUCACAUAUAAAUAUUUCUGUUUCUCCUGCUGUAGAUAUUUAGACAUUUAUAUGAAAAGUUAUUAAAAUCAGGUCAUAAUAAAAAAAAAGAAAUCCCUUUAAUAUCUUGCAUAUCCAUUUUUAUGCCCCAUUUAUGUCUGGUCUGUGGGUCCGUUAGUCAGUCUGUCCGUUCAUCUGUCCCGCUUCAGGUUAAAUUUUUUGGUCCAGGUUAAAGUUUUGGGUCGAGGUAGUUUUUGAUGAAGUUAUAGUCCUAUCAAUUUGAAACUUAGUACACAUGUUCCCUAUGAUAUGAUCUUUCUAAUUUUAAUGCCAAAUUAGAGAUUCUAUCCCAUUUUUAUGGUCCACUGACCAUAGAAAAUGAUAGUGCGGAUGGGGCAUUCAUGUACUUGGGACACAUUCUUGUUAUAAUAUAAAAAUGUGACCAUUAACAUUAUUUAUCACAAUUUUUCAUACUUGGCAUAUCAGUAUGGUAGGUUUUGUUGAAAAGAAUAUGGUUGCUUUGAUCAAUGCAUAUGAUGACAUCACACAGUGACACAGGUGCUUAAAUAUUUGUAGCUGUGAGCAUCUUUUGAUUUUAAUUCUACACUUUUAAACAUGCAACCAUAUAGAUACCUAUGCUAGUUACAAUUUUCUUCAAACAUCUCUUUCUGUGGUAAUUCUGACACAAUGUCAUCAAAGUGUAUAUUUGUCUCAUUUUGUACUUUACAUUACAGAAGAAUCCUAAGAUCUUCCAGUCCUGGGCAGAAACUGUAACUGAGGUGGUAGAGAAGAUAGAGAAUUUCCAAUUGCUUGAUGACGUAGUUCCUAGAAUGAUUUCUGAUAUGGAUGAUAAAUAUAAGCCAGCCAAGUAAGAACACUAUUAAUAUUCGUUGGAUACCAAUGUUUGUGUAUUUCGUGGGUACAGGUUAACCACCAAAUUUAAUGUUCAACAAAUAACAAAUUUUCUAUCGGAUUGUAUGCAUACUUCAGCAAAACCAGGAAAUCAAAUAUCCACGAACUUGUAAAUUUUCCUCAAUUCACGAAAAUUGAUAACCAUGAAAAUAAAUUAAUCAACAGUAUUCAUAGCUUCUAAGGUGCCAUAAUUGUUUUUUAUGCAUACCUAACAGGGGAAGUCCCUUUUGAACCGUUGAAGAAGCAGUAGUAACACUAAAAACUGGGUGGAAUCUUCAGUGCUGUGUAAGCGAAAGCAGAUCCUGCUCCACAUGUGGCACCCUUUGUGUUGAUCAUGUUAGUUGUAGCUUCUUAAAAAGCUUUUAUAUAAAAUAAGAAUAUGUGAUAUGAUUGUCAAUGAGACAACUAUCCAUUAGAGAACAAAUGAUUAAGAAUUUAGAAACUAGAGGUUGCUAUACAGCCUUCAAACCUACACUGUGUAGCUGUGGAACUGUAACUCAUAGGUUCUUAUGUUAUUGUUUUACUAUUAGCGGACCACAGAUCUAUGGUCUACAAAUGGUCAAAAAAAUAACAUAAGGACCUAUGAGCUACGGUUCCCAAGCUAGUUCAUUCAUAAUUCAUACAAUUUAAUGAGGAAAAUAGAAAUUCAAAUGUAAAUAAAUGUAUGGAGGUAUUUUUUUAAACUUUAUUCUUAAGAAUUCAUAAAAAAUAGAUUUGAUAAACUUGUGUCUUUUGCAGUUACUGUCUGAAUAUAAAAUCUUGUUUUAAUUAUAUACAAUAUUGUGAUGUUAUCAUUACAGAGGAGAUGAGAAGUAUUGGUUUCCUCUGCUUAAAGCUAUGUGGUUAGUUCCUACCAAAGAGUUUCAGUAUAGAGUUAAGAACGUAUUGGAUGAUACCAAGUUCAGACGGAUGUGGAACUGGAAGGUAGGAAUUUCUCAGACAACUGCUUCUGACUUUGAAAAAUUGCUUUGUGGAUUAUUAAAGUAAAAUUCAAUACUGCGAAAGCGGGGGACGUUUUAAAGGUGUUUAUAAAAUUAAGGAGAUGUGUAUCAUGUGUUAUUAAGACAAAUAUCAAUCAAAGUUCAUUUGAGGUAGAUGUAAACAAUUAUAGGCAACAGUACAGUUUUAACAAUGAGAAAACCUAUACUGGCAGUCAUCUGUUGAUUUAAUAUUUAUUACAAUCAGUCACAAUAAACUUUUUACCCUAAAACAAUAAAGACUAGUCAAAUCAUUGUUUGAAAAAUGGAAGUAAAGAUGAAAUGAAAUUUUAUCUUUAAAAUAGUUAAUUGAGCUUUCAUUUUGUAAAACAUCUUGGAAAUAUUUAAUCCAUGCCACGGCCACAUUUUUUUCUCCAUAUUACUCAAUCUCUACUUAAAGGAAUGAUUAUAUUAUACAAUGUAUUUGGUUUGAAACUUGAUUAUGUAUUUAACAUUGAGUGACAAUGUGUAGGGGAUUUUUAGAUAUGUCUUUAUGCUGCUUUCUGAUAUAAGAUAUUUAUUUAGAUUCAUAAAUUAUUAAAUAAGAGCCAUUAUUAAGCCCCUGUCAGAAAUUGCAAAAACAUGAUAAAAUUCUUCAAUGGUAUUCACAUAGCUUUAGGAAAAAUUAGUUUUGAGCCUUUUUAUAAACUUUUGAAAAAGCCAGAUAUAUGACAAUAGGAGAGACAGAAGAUACAUAAAUGUAAAACUAAUUUCAGGAAAAUAUUCAAGAGGCCAAAGACAUGAUAGCUAAUGCUGAGAAAGUAGACCUCCCACUAGAGGGAGAUAGUAAAGAGAGAGAUGUUAAUGCUGGAUGUGGCAAUGCUGUCAAAGAAAUCAUAGAAAUGUUCAAG